CAGUGUGUGACGCGCGGUGUGCUGGA
rnacentral:sRNA from 1 species